UACGAAGGGGGCUAGCGUUGUUCGGAAUUACUGGGCGUAAAGGGCGCGUAGGCGGUCCUGAUCGUCGGAUGUGAAAGGCCUGGGCUCAACCUGGGAACUGCAUCCGAUACGGCGGGACUGGAGUGUGGGAGAGGUUGGUGGAAUUCCCAGUGUAGAGGUGAAAUUCGUAGAUAUUGGGAAGAACACCGGUGACGAAGGCGGCCAACUGGACCACAACUGACGCUGAGACGCGAAAGCGUGGGGGAGCAAACAGG
rnacentral:rRNA from 1 species